ensembl:lncRNA
AGACAAUAACAGAGCGCUGGGGAUCAAACACUGCUGCCCAGGAAAUUUUAAUCAUCAGCGCACCACUGGCUUUUUUUUCCCCCCAUCCGAUGUUGCCAGGCAACAGAAAGCAGAGACUUCUGGAACUGAGAAAUACGCCUGACAAGACCUUCAAAAUAAAUUUAUUGACAUCUUUGUCCAGAGUGAUAAGCCCAUGGACUUGUUCUACAAAUAUAGGAAUCACAAGGUGAUUGUUGAAAGAGUAACAUGGAGCAGCCGGGGUUUGAACCGCCAACCUUGCGGUUCCCGGCGCACUCUACUGCGUCGCAUAGUCCACAGCCACAAAGUUACCGCUUACUUUAUUACCAUCGCACACACAUCUAUCUAAAAUGGACCCUUCAUAACAUUAUGCCAGACUUAAAUUAUACAACAGAAUGAAUGC